UACGAAGGGGGCUAGCGUUGCUCGGAAUCACUGGGCGUAAAGCGCACGUAGGCGGGUCCUUAAGUCAGGGGUGAAAUCCUGGAGCUCAACUCCAGAACUGCCUUUGAUACUGAGGAUCUCGAGUUCGGGAGAGGUGAGUGGAACUGCGAGUGUAGAGGUGAAAUUCGUAGAUAUUCGCAAGAACACCAGUGGCGAAGGCGGCUCACUGGCCCGAUACUGACGCUGAGGAGCGAAAGCUAGGGGAGCAAACGGG
rnacentral:rRNA from 1 species